AUACUGACAAUGAAUUAUCUGAAAAACUAAAGGCACUGAUUAUAUUUACAAUAGCAUCUAAAACAAUAAAGUACUUUGCAGUAAAUUUAAGUAAGGUGAAAGACCUCUUUACUAAAUCUAUAAGACACUGACAAGAGAAGGGGAAGAGGGAGGGGGACGUAAUUCUGUGUUUGAGGACUGGAAGAAUCCAGAUUGUUGAAACAUCCAUUCUACCAAAAGCCAUCUAUAGAUUCAAUGCAAUCCCUCCUACAAUUUAUAUGGAACCAUGAAAGACCUUGAAUAGCUAAAGCAAUCCUGAGAAAGAACAACAAAGGGGGGCGGCAUCAGGCUUCCUGUUUUCAAGCAAUAUUAUAAAGCUGUAUUAAUCAAAAGGUACAGUUCUGGCUUAAAAACAGACAAGUAGACCAAUGGAACACAGUCAAGAGCCCAGAAGUAAAACCAAAAACUUUUUGUCAA